rnacentral:rRNA from 1 species
UACAGAGGGGGCAAGCGUUGUUCGGAAUUACUGGGCGUAAAGGGCGCGUAGGCGGCCUGUUAAGUCGGACGUGAAAUCUCUCGGCUUAACCGGGAGCGGUCGUUGGAAACUGAUGGACUUGAGGCGAUGAGAGGGGUGUGGAAUUCCCGGUGUAGUGGUGGAAUGCGUAGAUAUCGGGAGGAACAUCAGUGGCGAAAGCGGCACCCUGGCAUUAGCCUGACGCUCAUGUGCGAAAGCGUGGGGAGCGAACGGG